rfam:Myotis brandtii contig179435, whole genome shotgun sequence.
GAGACACCCUUAUGGGGCAGGACUUGCUUCAGUGGGUCUUUGGUGCUCACUGAGUCUGCUCCUUGAGUGUGUCACU